UACGUAGGUGGCAAGCGUUGUCCGGAAUUACUGGGUGUAAAGGGAGCGUAGGCGGGAAGCCAAGUCAGCUGUGAAAACUACGGGCUUAACUUGUAGACUGCAGUUGAAACUGGUUUUCUUGAGUGAAGUAGAGGUUGGCGGAAUUCCGAGUGUAGCGGUGAAAUGCGUAGAUAUUCGGAGGAACACCGGUGGCGAAGGCGGCCAACUGGGCUUUAACUGACGCUGAGGCUCGAAAGUGUGGGGAGCAAACA
rnacentral:rRNA from 1 species